AGCGUCACGCCGGUAUGAACGGAUUACUUUGAUGAAGUAAAAAAUAAGAAUUUCUCUUUGACACUC
rnacentral:tRNA from 1 species